rnacentral:rRNA from 1 species
AGAGUUUGUAGUCCUGGCGUACACGGAGUGAACGGCUGCGGUGCGCCGUACACAUAGCAAGUCGACGAAGGAAUGUGAAGGAACUUACGAGGGAAACACAAUGACUGAGUGGCGGACGGGUGAGUAACGCGUAGGGAACCUGGCCCGUUACAGGGGGAGUAACAGAUGGAAACAACUAGCUAAUACCGCAUAAGCGCCCAGCCUCGCAUGAGGCAGAGUGAAAACUAAGGUGGUAAGGGAUGGCCCUGCGUCCGAUUAGCUAGUUGGUAUGGUAACGGCAUACCAAGGCGACGAUCGGUAGCCGGCCUGAGAGGGUGGACGGCCACAUUGGGACUGAGACACGGCCCAAACUCCUACGGGAGGCAGCAGUGGGGGAUAUUGCACAAUGGGGGAAACCCUGAUGCAGCGACACCGCGUGGGUGAAGAAGCGCUUCGGCGUGUAAAGCCUUAUCAGUGGGGAAGAAAAAGGACGGUACCCAAAGAAGAAGCACCGGCUAAAUACGUG